AUGUAGGGCACCCUGUAUUUAAAUAGGGAUGAAUUAUGCUAAAAGAAAUGAAUCCUGAACAGUUUUCCCUUCAAGUCAAAUGUCUUGU
rnacentral:pre_miRNA from 1 species